rnacentral:rRNA from 1 species
CCAAUAGCGUAUAUUAAAGUUGUUGCAGUUAAAAAGCUCGUAGUUGAAUUUUGGGUCUGGCCGGGCGGUCCGCCCUCUGGGUGAGCACUGUUCCGACGCCGGGCCUAUCCUUCUGGUGAGUCGGCAUGUCCUUUAUUGGGUGUGUCGGGGAACCAGGACCAUUACCUUGAAAAAAUUAGAGUGUUCAAAGCAGGCGUAUGCUCGGAUACAUUAGCAUGGAAUAAUGAAAUAGGACGCGUGGUGCUAUUUUGUUGGUUUCUAGAACCGCCGUAAUGAUUAAUAGGGAUAGUUGGGGGCAUUAGUAUUCAAUUGUCAGAGGUGAAAUUCUUGGAUUUAUUGAAGACUAACUUCUGCGAAAGCAUUUGCCAAGGAUGUUUUCAUUAAUCAAGAACGAAAGUUAGGGGAUCGAAGACGAUCAGAUACCGUCGUAGUCUUAACCAUAAACUAUGCCGACUAGGAAUCGGGCGAUGUUAUUCUCAUGACUCGCCCGGCGCCUUAUG